rnacentral:rRNA from 1 species
AACGAACGCUGGCGGCAUGCCUAACACAUGCAAGUCGAACGAGACCUUCGGGUCUAGUGGCGCACGGGUGCGUAACGCGGGGGAACCUGCCCUUAGGUUCGGAAUAACUCCCCGAAAGGGGUGCUAAUACCGGAUAAUGUCUUCGGACCAAAGGUUUAUCGCCUUUGGAUGGGCCCGCGUUGGAUUAGCUAGUUGGUAGGGUAAAAGCCUACCACGGCGACGAUCCAUAGCUGGUGUGAGAGGAUGAUCAGCCACACUGGGACGGAGACACGGCCCAGACUCCUACGGGAGGCAGCAGUGGGGAAUAGUGGACAGUGGGCGAAAGCCUGAUCCAGCAAUGCCGCGUGAGUGAUGAAGGCCUUAGGGUUGUAAAGCUCUUUUACCCGGGAUGAUAAUGACAGUACCGAGAGAAUAAGCUCCGGCUAACUCCGUG